CACUAGGGUUUCUGGACGUUUUGGGCAGCCUCCUCUCUCCUUAUUCUUCAUCCUCUUGCUUUUGGUGUUUGUGACCCAUUAGAGGAGUGACACUUGUGACUCUAAGCUUUAUAAAGCCAUUACAAUGAGGAUUUGAGAUUGUUAUUGCUACAUAACAAUCAAAGUGGAUCUCUUGGUACCAAAUGAUUCCCACAGAUCUCAUUUCACCUACAUAUCAUUUCUCCCCUGUUCUGAACCACCCUUAACUGUGUGUGUGCGUUUGAAAGUACGUGCCUCUAUCUCUUUUUGUUGCCUUAUUAUUUGUUUCUUUCUUCUUUAGUGAUCAGUUCAAGAAAAUUUAGCUCCAUUAAAUUUGUUUUGUUUGUUUCAUUAUACUCCUGUGAGGAAGAGUUCUUUUUUUUUCUUUUUUGAUCGAUAAGUGUUCGGGAUAUAGAAAAACCCUCUAUAACGGAAAAAUUGUUGCAACUUUCGCGAAGAGUUCCAAACCACUGGUGAUUCCUGUUAUUUUCAUGUCAUUAUUUUGUUUCUUGUAUAACUUUUUAUCGCAGAUCUAUUCAAACAUAUGUUUAUGGUGGGUUUCUUGAAAUGGGAUAUUUGAAUACUAUGAUUGAAAAUUUUAGGUGAUUUGAAGUCAAAUAGGUAAUCUUGCUUUUGUAGGGUUUAUAAGAAGAUGAUGACAUUGUAUUUUAUAUGCUUUUUCGCACUUUUUAGGUCUGGAUAUUCAACACCUUGAAUUUGGACACUUAGUGUUGGAUCUUUUAGCAUUGAGCAUUAACAAGAGGCAUAGAAGAAAUUGCCUACAUCAAGGGCAAGUUAGAGUAUGGGGCAAGGGAAAAAUUGUUAACAGGGGCUUUGCAUAUCCCGAACAAAGUAACAUUUACCCUAUUUUGACUUUUUAUCUAAAAGAAACAUUGAAAAUCAGGUGAAUUAUGCAAAGAGUAAAUUACAAAAUGGUCUAUAUGCUUUAUGAUUUUUGACAUUGAAUUCAAGGUUUGAUAUAAAUUUUGGUCCCUCAAACCUUAAUUAAGGACCAAAAUUGAAAAAAAAAAAAAAAAAAGGAGUAAAGCAUUGUUAAUUCAUAACACAGACUACAAAGGGACCAUCUUUAUACUAUUAUGUAAAUAAUGUGUAUUUUAUUCUGUUUUCAUUUUGAGCUGCUAAGGGUUAGUUAUAUAAGUAUUAAAAGUUGAUAAUGUAAGUUUUCAAGUUAAAAAUUCUACAUAUAUAUUAACUUUAUUUUUUGUCUGUUGGGAUAAAUGAAAUAAAUAGUAUCCAACAUUUAUUUCUCUGUUAAUAAUUGGGAUUGAUAUGGAUUAAUAAAAAGUAUUAAUAUUCUAUGACUUAUUGAAUGGUACAAAUAUUAUGUUUGACUUUGAGUGUGCAACUCAAUAAUAGCUCCAUAAAUCCUAUAUGGCACAACACACAUAAUGAAAAGAAAACAAAGCUAGGUAAAGAACACACCUAUUUUCUCAUUUUUGUUUUUUUGGCUUCAAAAGCAAUUUGCAUCUACUAAAAGUUCUUAAAUUUUCUUUUAACUCGGUGAAGGGUGGAUUCAACUAAAGGUUCUUUUUAUCUUAAUGUGUUUAAUGGUAAUAAGUGUGGAGUUGGCUGCUUUAGAAGUUGGUUGCAGUUAACAUAUCUUAGUUUGCAGGAAAUAUCUAUAUUUUAUCGGCUAAUUUUAUGAAGAUUGACAUGUAAGAAGUUAUUGUCUUGGAAAACUGGGUUUUAUUUCAGAAUUAACUUGGCCAGGAAGAAGUACUAUCUCUUAUCUCUUACAUAUAUGUGUGUGGGAGAAGACUGAAGUGCAGCUGGACUGGUAUACACCGCCAACUCAAAAAAAAUUCCGAUUUUACCCUUGGGUUUGGAGCAACUUCAAGUGGUGCAUGUUUUUCUUUUCACCACCUGACAUUUUGGGACUAUAGUUAGAGUUAGAUCAUGCUUUGUUUCUUAAACUCCAAAGAUGUAGUGCAGGAUUUUUAUAUAUAUUUUUAGCUUUUUCUACACUAUAUGUUUCUCUUUAUUUUCAUUUUCUUAUAAAAGAAAUCGUAUUAGAAGUCUUUAGCUUAUUUUUGUUGUAUAUUGUCUUUUUAUGUUCUUGUAAACGUUGAGAAUGGAGGUUUUUUGUUUUUUUAA